rnacentral:rRNA from 1 species
CAGAGGGGGCAAGCGUUGUUCGGAAUUACUGGGCGUAAAGGGCGCGUAGGCGGCCUUCUAAGUCGAACGUGAAGUCCCCGGGCUCAACCCGGGAACUGCGUCCGAUACUGGAAGGCUUGAAUCCGGGAGAGGGAUGCGGAAUUCCAGGUGUAGCGGUGAAAUGCGUAGAUAUCUGGAGGAACACCGGUGGCGAAGGCGGCAUCCUGGACCGGCAUUGACGCUGAGGCGCGAAAGCCAGGGGAGCAAACGGGAUUAGAUACCCCGGUAGUCCUGGCCCUAAACGAUGAAUGCUUGGUGUGGCGGGUAUCGAUCCCUGCCGUGCCGAAGCUAACGCAUUAAGCAUUCCGCCUGGGGAGUACGGUCGCAAGGCUG